rnacentral:rRNA from 1 species
GGAAGGGGGGGGGGUUUAUAUAUAUAUGUUUUUUCCCCGUAGAGGAACGCUGGCGGUAGGCCUAACACAUGCAAGUCGAACGGCAGCACAGGAGAGCUUGCUCUCUGGGUGGCGAGUGGCGGACGGGUGAGGAAUACAUCGGAAUCUACUCUGUCGUGGGGGAUAACGUAGGGAAACUUACGCUAAUACCGCAUACGACCUACGGGUGAAAGCAGGGGACCUUCGGGCCUUGCGCGAUUGAAUGAGCCGAUGUCGGAUUAGCUAGUUGGCGGGGUAAAGGCCCACCAAGGCGACGAUCCGUAGCUGGUCUGAGAGGAUGAUCAGCCACACUGGAACUGAGACACGGUCCAGACUCCUACGGGAGGCAGCAGUGGGGAAUAUUGGACAAUGGGCGCAAGCCUGAUCCAGCCAUACCGCGUGGGUGAAGAAGGCCUUCGGGUUGUAAAGCCCUUUUGUUGGGAAAGAAAUCCAGCUGGCUAAUACCCGGUUGGGAUGACGGUACCCAAAGAAUAAGCACCGGCUAACUUCGUGCCAGCAGCCGCGGUAAUACGAAGGGUGCAAGCGUUACUCGGAAUUACUGGGCGUAAAGCGUGCGUAGGUGGUCGUUUAAGUCCGUUGUGAAAGCCCUGGGCUCAACCUGGGAACUGCAGUGGAUACUGGGCGACUAGAAUGUGGUAGAGGGUAGCGGAAUUCCUGGUGUAGCAGUGAAAUGCGUAGAGAUCAGGAGGAACAUCCAUGGCGAAGGCAGCUACCUGGACCAACAUGACACUGAGGCACGAAAGAGCGGA